GUUGAGAAGCACCAUGGACAGCACAGUGGCAUGCCUGGGACAUUCAGGAGGAGCUGGUAAUAAUACAUAUGCCACAGCACAGAGUGUACGGACUGCACUUCUCUAACAGGAAAGAAAAAGCUAUAGAUCUUUCCAAAAUUAAUAAAGAUCAGAUUUGAUUGGUGUGGGGACCUCCUGAGGAUCUUGGCUGCAGAUGUGAAAGAUAAAAAGGUCAAGAAAGACUACAAGACAGGUGAUUGCAAAAGGCUUAUUGAGACCACAGUUUGGAAGCUGAGACUUCAAGAAAGUGGUGCUGGCAUGG